rnacentral:rRNA from 1 species
UACGAGGGGGGCGAGCGUUUGUUCGGAAUUAUUGGGCGUAAAGGGCGCGUAGGCGGUUGGAUAAGUCUUGUGUGAAAUCUUCGGGCUCAACUCGAAGUCUGCACGAGAAACUAUCUGGCUUGAGUGUGGGAGAGGUGAGUGGAGUUCCUGGUGUAGCGGUGAAAUGCGUAGAUAUCAGGAGGAACACCUGUGGCGAAAGCGGCUCACUGGACCACAACUGACGCUGAGGCGCGAAAGCUAGGGGAGCAAACAGG